ACGAACGCUGGCGGCGUGCUUAACACAUGCAAGUCGAACGGUGAAGCGCCUUCCUUUUUGGUGGGUGUGGAUGAGUGGCGCACGGGUGAGUAACACGUGAGUAACCUGCCCCCUUCUUCUGGAUAACCGCAUGAAAGUGUGGCUAAUACGGGAUAUUCUGGGUCUGUCGCAUGAUGGGUCUGGGAAAGAUAUUGUUUCGGUGGGGGAUGGGCUCGCGGCCUAUCAGCUUGUUGGUGGGGUGAUGGCCUACCAAGGCGGUGACGGGUAGCCGGCCUGAGAGGGUGGACGGUCACACUGGGACUGAGACACGGCCCAGACUCCUACGGGAGGCAGCAGUGGGGAAUAUUGCACAAUGGGCGCAAGGCUGAUGCAGCGACGCCGCGUGAGGGAUGGAGGCCGUCGGGUUGUGAACCUCUUUCGCCAGUGAAGCAGGCCUGCCUCGUUUGUGGGUGGGUUGACGGUAGCUGGAUAAGAAGCGCCGGCUAACUACGUG
rnacentral:rRNA from 1 species